CGGGGACGAGUGGAGGGCGGGGGCGCCGGUGUCCAUCCGAGGAGAAGUCUGCUGAGCAUGGCUGUAGACAGUGGGUGUCCCCACGGGGCGUCCAGAAGCUGCUGCAUGGACCAUGCAUCGAUCCCGGUCGUCGCGGGGAGAAUGUGCCCAGCUCUCCACACAACGCUUCUCAAAUCCACUAAAAUCAACACAAUAAUUGAAAUAUUUUCAAGCUGAUUACACCGCAGCCCGAGGCUAGCCUGGUUGCUAAGGGUGAGCUCCGUGGUUGCUAGGGGGAGUAAAUCAUCUUGCAUUAUUUGAUUUUUGUUAUAGAUAUGAAACCGCUACUCCCGCGAUUAAAUGUCUCUCAGCCUAACACCUAUGGGACCUGGGGAGAGGGAAGAGAAAGGCUCCAACCUUGACCCUGUCAAAUAAAUAUCUCUAACUUUUUCUGUC
rnacentral:lncRNA from 1 species